rnacentral:rRNA from 1 species
UUUGGUCGCCAACGAGUGGCGGACGGGUGAGUAACACGUAGGUAACCUGCCCAGAAGCGGGGGACAACAUUUGGAAACAGAUGCUAAUACCGCAUAACAGCGUUGUUCGCAUGAACAACGCUUAAAAGAUGGCUUCUCGCUAUCACUUCUGGAUGGACCUGCGGUGCAUUAGCUUGUUGGUGGGGUAACGGCCUACCAAGGCGAUGAUGCAUAGCCGAGUUGAGAGACUGAUCGGCCACAAUGGGACUGAGACACGGCCCAUACUCCUACGGGAGGCAGCAGUAGGGAAUCUUCCACAAUGGGCGCAAGCCUGAUGGAGCAACACCGCGUGAGUGAAGAAGGGUUUCGGCUCGUAAAGCUCUGUUGUUAAAGAAGAACACGUAUGAGAGUAACUGUUCAUACGUUGACGGUAUUUAACCAGAAAGUCACGGCUAACUACGUGCCAGCAGCCGCGGUAAUACGUAGGUGGCAAGCGUUAUCCGGAUUUAUUGGGCGUAAAGAGAGUGCAGGCGGUUUUCUAAGUCUGAUGUGAAAGCCUUCGGCUUAACCGGAGAAGUGCAUCGGAAACUGGAUAACUUGAGUGCAGAAGAGGGUAGUGGAACUCCAUGUGUAGCGGUGGAAUGCGUAGAUAUAUGGAAGAACACCAGUGGCGAAGGCGGCUACCUGGUCUGCAACUGACGCUGAGACUCGAAAGCAUGGGUAGCGAACAGGAUUAGAUACCCUGGUAGUCCAUGCCGUAAACGAUGAGUGCUAGGUGUUGGAGGGUUUCCGCCCUUCAGUGCCGGAGCUAACGCAUUAAGCACUCCGCCUGGGGAGUACGACCGCAAGGUUGAAACUCAAAGGAAUUGACGGGGGCCCGCACAAGCGGUGGAGCAUGUGGUUUAAUUCGAAGCUACGCGAAGAACCUUACCAGGUCUUGACAUCUUGCGCCAACCCUAGAGAUAGGGCGUUUCCUUCGGGAACGCAAUGACAGGUGGUGCAUGGUCGUCGUCAGCUCGUGUCGUGAGAUGUUGGGUUAAGUCCCGCAACGAGCGCAACCCUUGUUACUAGUUGCCAGCAUUAAGUUGGGCACUCUAGUGAGACUGCCGGUGACAAACCGGAGGAAGGUGGGGACGACGUCAGAUCAUCAUGCCCCUUAUGACCUGGGCUACACACGUGCUACAAUGGACGGUACAACGAGUCGCGAACUCGCGAGGGCAAGCAAAUCUCUUAAAACCGUUCUCAGUUCGGACUGCAGGCUGCAACUCGCCUGCACGAAGUCGGAAUCGCUAGUAAUCGCGGAUCAGCAUGCCGCGGUGAAUACGUUCCCGGGCCUUGUACACACCGCCCGUCACACCAUGAGAGUUUGUAACACCCAAAGUCGGUGGGGUAACCUUUUAGGAGCCAGCCGCCUAA